rnacentral:rRNA from 1 species
AGAGUUUGAUCAUGGCUCAGGAUGAACGCUGGCGGCGUGCCUAACACAUGCAAGUCGAGCGAGAAGCUUAUGUGAUGAAACUUCGGUAGAAUCUUUUAAGUGGAAAGCGGCGGACGGGUGAGUAACGCGUAGGCAACCUGCCCUUAGCAGGGGGAUAGCCAUUGGAAACGAUGAUUAAAACCCCAUAAUACGGAUUUAUCACAUGUUAGAUUCGUCAAAGAUUUAUCGGCUAAGGAUGGGCCUGCGUCUGAUUAGCUAGUUGGUGAGGUAACGGCUCACCAAGGCAACGAUCAGUAGCCGACCUGAGAGGGUGAUCGGCCACAUUGGAACUGAGACACGGUCCAAACUCCUACGGGAGGCAGCAGUGGGGAAUAUUGCACAAUGGGCGAAAGCCUGAUGCAGCAACGCCGCGUGAAGGAUGAAGGCUUUCGAGUCGUAAACUUCUGUCCUUGGGGAAGAAAAAAAUGACGGUACCCAUGGAGGAAGCCCCGGCUAACUACGUGCCAGCAGCCGCGGUAAUACGUAGGGGGCGAGCGUUAUCCGGAAUUAUUGGGCGUAAAGAGUGCGUAGGUGGUUCUUUAAGCGAGAGGUUUAAGGCUAUGGCUUAACCAUAGUUCGCCUCCCGAACUGAAGGACUUGAGUGCAGGAGGGGAAAGCGGAAUUCCUAGUGUAGCGGUGAAAUGCGUAGAUAUUAGGAGGAACACCAGUGGCGAAGGCGGCUUUCUGGACUGAAACUGACACUGAGGCACGAAAGCGUGGGGAGCAAACAGGAUUAGAUACCCUGGUAGUCCACGCCGUAAACGAUGAGCACUAGGUGUCGGGGGAGAAACCUCGGUGCCGCAGUUAACGCAUUAAGUGCUCCGCCUGGGGAGUACGCACGCAAGUGUAAAACUCAAAGGAAUUGACGGGGACCCGCACAAGCAGCGGAGCAUGUGGUUUAAUUCGAAGCAACGCGAAGAA